UGGGGAAUUUUGGACAAUGGGGGCAACCCUGAUCCAGCCAUCCCGCGUGUGCGAUGAAGGCCUUCGGGUUGUAAAGCACUUUUGGCAGGGAAGAAACAGCCUGGGAUAAUACCCCGGGCGACUGACGGUACCUGCAGAAUAAGCACCGGCUAACUACGUGCCAGCAGCCGCGGUAAUACGUAGGGUGCAAGCGUUAAUCGGAAUUACUGGGCGUAAAGCGUGCGCAGGCGGUUCGGAAAGAAAGGUGUGAAAUCCCAGGGCUUAACCUUGGAACUGCACUUUUAACUACCGAGCUAGAGUACGUCAGAGGGGGGUAGAAUUCCACGUGUAGCAGUGAAAUGCGUAGAGAUGUGGAGGAAUACCGAUGGCGAAGGCAGCCCCCUGGGAUGAUACUGACGCCCAUGCACGAAAGCGUGGGGAGCAAACAGGAUUAGAUACCCUGGUAGUCCACGCCCUAAACGAUGUCAACUAGCUGUUGGGGUUUAUUAACUUAGUAGCGCAGCUAACGCGUGAAGUUGACCGCCUGGGGAGU
rnacentral:rRNA from 1 species